UACAGAGGUCCCAAGCGUUGUUCGGAUUCAUUGGGCGUAAAGGGUGCGUAGGCGGCGCGGUAAGUCGGGUGUGAAAUCUUGGAGCUUAACUCCGAAACUGCAUUCGAUACUGCCGUGCUUGAGGACUGGAGAGGAGACUGGAAUUUACGGUGUAGCGGUGAAAUGCGUAGAUAUCGGGAGGAACACCUAUGGCGAAGGCAGCUCGCUGGGACGUUACUGACGCUGAGACGCGAAAGCGUGGGGAGCAAACAGG
rnacentral:rRNA from 1 species